AUUGAACGCUGGCGGCAGGCCUAACACAUGCAAGUCGAGCGGAUGAAGGGAGCUUGCUCCUGGAUUCAGCGGCGGACGGGUGAGUAAUGCCUAGGAAUCUGCCUGGUAGUGGGGGAUAACGUCCGGAAACGGGCGCUAAUACCGCAUACGUCCUGAGGGAGAAAGUGGGGGAUCUUCGGACCUCACGCUAUCAGAUGAGCCUAGGUCGGAUUAGCUAGUUGGUGGGGUAAAGGCCUACCAAGGCGACGAUCCGUAACUGGUCUGAGAGGAUGAUCAGUCACACUGGAAAUGAGAAACGGGCCAGACUCCUAAGGGAGGCAGCAGUGGGGAAUAUUGGACAAUGGGCGAAAGACUGAUCCAGCCAUGCCGCGUGUGUGAAGAAGGUCUUCGGAUUGUAAAGCACUUUAAGUUGGGAGGAAGGGCAGUAAGUUAAUACCUUGCUGUUUUGACGUUACCAACAGAAUAAGCACCGGCUAACUUCGUG
rnacentral:rRNA from 1 species